rnacentral:rRNA from 1 species
UACGUAGGGGGCAAGCGUUGUCCGGAAUCAUUGGGCGUAAAGAGCGUGUAGGCGGCCCGUUAAGUCGGCUGUGAAAGCCCGGGGCUCAACCCCGGAGGGUCAGCCGAUACUGGCAGGCUAGAGUACGGAAGAGGUAGCUGGAAUUCCCGGUGUAGCGGCGAAAUGCGUAGAUAUCGGGAGGAACACCUGAGGCGAAGGCGGGCUACUGGGCCGAUACUGACGCUGAUGUGCGAAAGCCAGGGGAGCGAACGGG